AUGUGUGACUGUCCCAGCUUGCUCCUCUGUGGACAUCAACUCCUUGCCCAGCCUGUUGCUCUCACCACACCUACAUCAAGACUGGCCUGCUGCAUAUCUUCCCAUCAGCUAGGAAAUCACCACCGUGAGAUCUAAGCUAGGAGUCCUCUUCUCACAAAAAGCGGCUUCCACAUCACGAGAGUUGUACAGCAUGGUCACAGGUCAAGAUGCUGAAGAACAGGAAUCAAAAUCCCCAACAGAGUCUUGCUCUGUCAUCCAGGCUGGAGUGCAGUGGCACAAUCUCGGCUCAUUGCAACCUCCGCCUCCCAGGUUCAAGCAGUUCUCACGCCUCAGCCUCCCUUGUAGCUGAAAUUACAGAGUCUAAAAUGAAGUCACACGUAAGCUACAAGCCCGCCUGGAGGGCAGUGUCGCAUGUGGACAGAAAGAGGAUGUUUCUACCUUCAUCCUCCACCUCAAUCCCUACCCACAACGAUAUGGAUGUGUCCAGAGUGCCUGGUUUCCAAGGCAGGAUUCCUCUUAACCGAGGCUGUUCAAAGCACAAGUGAAUGCAAUGGUUAUACAGUUCAAGAAAGACACAUUUGGUAUAUCGAAUUAAAUCUCCCCAAAAUAGUCUCUGGAAAAGAAAAUGCAAGUGAAAACGUGUUGGUGAUCUGGAACUUCAGCAGGUGGAUACUGCUACAGUCUUACUCAAAGGUGGGUAUUUGGCAGGUACUUAAUUACUUUUUUUGUUUUUUUUUGAGAUGAAGUUUUGCUUUUGUUGCCCAGGCUGGAGUACAAUGGCACGAUCUCGGCUCACUGCAACCUCCACCUCCUGGGUUCAGUGAUUCUCCUGCCUCAGCCUCCUGAGUAGCUGGGAUUACAGGCGCCUGCCACCAUACCCGGCUAAUUUUUUGUAUUUUUAGUAGAGACGGGAUUUCACCAUGUUGGCCAGGCUGGUCUCGAACUUCUGACCUUAGGUGAUCCACCCUCCUCGACCUCCCAAAGUGCUGGGAUUACAGGCAUGAGCCACUGUGCCUGGCUCUUAAUUACUUUUUUAAUGCUUCCUAGGGGUUAUUUUGAAGAAAAAAAUUUUAAUUAAUAAUAUAACAGAAUUAGUUUAAUAAGUGAAUGGUUAUUAACAUCUGCUCUUUUUACAUAAACAAGAACACAUAUUGAUCUUUCAAAACCUUUAAUGUGAUGAACAAGAUCUAUAAAAUAACAUAAUUCAAUCAAUGCAUUUAAUACCUCCUCUAACAAUAACCAUUUGUAUUUCUUUGCACAUAAGGAAUACUUUUAAUCUGGAAGUAUCAGAAUAUUCAAGUCAGUUGCUCAACAAAAGAAUAUUUCAUA
rnacentral:lncRNA from 1 species